UGUCAGUCCACCAAGCAUUGUUUCGUACAUUGUAAGUACAAUCAAAAAGUGUGGAGGGUUAUCGUAAAUCGAUGUUUCAUAUUCCACAGACUUCAGAGAUGACUCUGCCCUUGUAAAGACUUCUAGUGGACAGGAGAGAACUGUACAACCUGUUGACAACCCUUCAGCUGCCUCAGAUGGUGACACUGCUCUUGAAGGGACAUCUAAAGAGGAUAAUGGGAAGAAAAAGUCCAGCAGGAAAAAAAAACGUCAUGAACAAAGUGCGAUUACCAAAAAUGCUGGAGUGGACGAUCCCAGGAGGAAAAUAAAGCAUCCAUGGUCUCCAGCUGAGGUUGCAGCUGUGAUGAGACAUUUUAAAGAUCACAUCAACAAUGGUAAACUCGUCACUAUGAUUCAGUGCCAGCAGUGCAAGACCGCUGAGCAUCAUGUUCUUGCCGACCGCACUCUUCAAAAUAUAAGAGAUUUUGUUAGAAAUCGUGGCAUAACACUGAAGAGGAAGAACCAAUAAGUACAGAGAGAGAUGAUGUUUUGUUUUUAUGUGUUAAAAGAUAAGA